rnacentral:tRNA from 1 species
GGUGGCUCAGUGGUAGAGCGCUUGCCUCAUGCAUGAGGUCCUGGGUUCGAUUCCUCAGCACCA